AGUGAACGCUGGCGGUAGGCCUAACACACGCAAGUCGAACGGCAGCACAGUAAGAGCUUGCUCUUACGGGUGGCGGGUGGCGGACGGGUGAGGAAUACAUCGGAAUCUACUUUUUCGUGGGGGAUAACAUAGGGAAACUUACGCUAAUACCGCAUACGACCUACGGGUGAAAGCAGGGGAUCUUCGGACCUUGCGCGAUUGAAUGAGCCGAUGUCGGAUUAGCUAGUUGGCGGGGUAAAGGCCCACCAAGGCGACGAUCCGUAGCUGGUCUGAGAGGAUGAUCAGCCACACUGGAACUGAGACACGGUCCAGACUCCUACGGGAGGCAGCAGUGGGGAAUAUUGGACAAUGGGCGCAAGCCUGAUCCAGCCAUACCGCGUGGGUGAAGAAGGCCUUCGGGUUGUAAAGCCCUUUUGUUGGGAAAGAAAAGCAGCAGGUUAAUACCCCGCUGUUCUGACGGUACCCAAAGAAUAAGCACCGGCUAACUUCGUG
rnacentral:rRNA from 1 species